CAGUCGCCGCGGUAAUACGGAGGGUGCAAGCGUUAAUCGGAAUUACUGGGCGUAAAGCGCACGCAGGCGGUCUGUCAAGUCAGAUGUGAAAUCCCCGGGCUUAACCUGGGAACUGCAUUUGAAACUGGCAGGCUAGAGUCUUGUAGAGGGGGGUAGAAUUCCAGGUGUAGCGGUGAAAUGCGUAGAGAUCUGGAGGAAUACCGGUGGCGAAGGCGGCCCCCUGGACAAAGACUGACGCUCAGGUGAGAAAGCGUGGGGAGCAAACAGGAUUAGAUACCCCUGUAGUCCCUGUCUCUUAUAC
rnacentral:rRNA from 1 species